rnacentral:tRNA from 1 species
AUUUUUGUAGUUGAAACUAACAACAAUAACUUUUCACGUUAUAAGUUUGGGUCCAACUCCCAACAAAAGGA